AGGAGGCUGUGGCUGCGGCCGGUCGGUGCCCGCUGAGGGAGAUGGGGCCGGAGCGGCGUCGUGCUGCCGGCCCGGAGCAACGCCGCGCUCUGUGGGGGCUGUUCGGUUGUCCAGGCUCUUAAGCACAUGGAAGAGAAAGUUGGGAAUUAUCUGCAAAUGGAAAUGCGAUGAUGUGCUCUGUAGGCUGGCAUGCAGAAUGCAGGCUGUGCUGGAGGCAGCACAGUGCUGAGUGAAGGGCUCCCACCAGGCGUGUCCCUUAUUGGGUGCUCCCAAGAACAAGUGGAAUUCCCUAAUUUGGGAGAAAGCUAUUCAGCUGGGAGCUGGUUUCAUGUCACCGUAUUGGAAGUCUGCCCUGGUACACACUGAAAGAAAUUGAAAGCUUUUAGCUGGGAUUGGGAACUGGAGUGAGACGCUGUAUAUGAGUGAGUCUCUGGCCUUUGUUGCUGGGAAGAGAUAGCCAAAUUACGAAUCAAACAUCUUCAGAUAUGAAUGUCUUGAGAACUGAAACAGAGAACUUCCUCAGAGACCAGCUGUGAGCAGAAUGCACUUCCUGCAGAGCUAAGAGCAGCCAUCCAGUGUCAGCACGCAGCCAUGAGGGACUCUGGAGUCUUCUGUGAAGAAGGAGCCUGGUCAGUGCGUGGGGCCUCAGCGCAGUGCAGGGAGGUGGGUGAGACCCCGCUCAGAGCCAUUGGCAGUGCUGCAGACGGUACAGAUCAGGUGCUUCCCAGAAGGGCAGCCUCAGGAUGCCUUUUGUUCCAUUUCAGAAGAAAACGUUUCCAAGAAUAACAUUAGGCAGAUCGGAGUUAUCACAUUUCUGUUAUUUUGUUGUUGGUUUUCAAUUCCUGCAGAUGUUUGCCUGAAAACCUGUAGCAUCCACGUACUCCUGAGGAAGGAGCACGGUUUGUCAGAGCUGCUCCGUGUCAGAAACAAUCUCAAAAGCAAAUGUAUGUGACUAAAUACAAGCUUCUAAAAACCUGCCCUGUAUCCGCAGUCAGCAGAGGCGCAGUACCAGCAGGCAGCUGGGUUGUGCCCGGCACAUCUCGGUGGUGUGAGAGAUCCUGCAAGAUGUGCGUGGCGUUCUUGUGGCACAGAUCCCAGCACAGGCAGCAGUGAGGGAUGUGGAGUGUGAGCAGGUAGGGGGCAUUUCCACAGCACUUCAGGCCAACUCAGCGCAGAAGUGUUUGCAGUCUGAAUCAGCAACAGAGCACGUAGCACAUGAGAGGUCCAGAACAAGUUGUGGUGAUGGCUUCCAUUUCACCUGAAAGGAACAGAGCAAACUGGAACUUGUAACUGUCAGCAGAGCAAGACAGAAUUUGGUUUCAAGUAAUGAAAACGUAAGUUGUGUUCUAUCACACAGAGUUAUGUUCUUCUCCAUGCAGCUGUAUGCUGAGGUGUGAUGGUGGGAUGCUCUAAACAUUCUAUUCAUUUUUCCUGGUGGGGUAGCAGAGUCUGUUACAAAAUAUAAAAUUAAGGAAGAAAUGUUGCCAGAAUCUAAACCUGGAUUUCAUUAGGGGGUGUUGUCAUUUCACUAUAAAAUACAUCUGUUACAGCGUUCCAUAAAGUUUAGGCACACAAUAGAGUAAUAAACUGAUUUUAUAACUUGGGUAAUACUCCACCAUCGACUUGCUCCCCCCUGCUGUGUGCAUUGUAUUACCUCAGUACAGAAACGUUUGCGCACUGCAUGGAAAGUGGGUUGGUAUUGCAGCCAGUGGAAGUGUUCAGAAUGGUGUAUGAGAUGCGUCUUGUAGAGAGGACAGGCAGCAGCAGGAGCUGCGCUGUGAUUCACUGCAAGCAGUUAUCUGGGCAGCACAGAGCCCUUCCUCUGAGCCCGUGUGGCUGCACAUCCCAACGCCACCACUGAUAACAGCAGUGGAAACCCCACGUAAAGGUUUCUGGAAGCACCAGUGCUGUCUGAGCAGGGCAACAGCACCAACCCAGCAGCUCUGGGACGAAGCCAGCACAUCCCUUCACAACACCGUAAUCUGGCAGAGAUGCACUUAAUGUUGUCUUCCACAUUUCCUGUGUAGACAAAUCCCUUCCCUGGAUGUUUCCUGGAUUAACACAGUCUCAUCCUCAAAUAAGACACAAAGAGGUCUGAGGAGAUGAGUAUCUACAUGGGAUUGAUACAGUUCUGCUCACGUGUUCAUGGGAAUGUUUCAAUAAGUAUUGACAGGGGGAUGAAUCACGUACAUUCUUGGCAGCCAAGCUCAAGUUCACAAGAAUGCUCAGUUUGAUCAACUUCCUUCAAAAUACAAAGCUCAAAGUGAAGAGGAAAGCAGAGAGAAAGGAACUUGGAUGGCUUUCCAUGCAGUAGACAUUACAAGAUGGACAUCCAAGCAGGAAGACAAUAAAUCUACUGUGCAAAUUGUUUUGCCCAAAGCAAAUCACUGAGCUGCUGUUAAAGGAAGGUUCAGGCUAAAUUAAGAAAAUAAGACUGGAAGGGGGGAAAAUAAAGAAGAGGAGAAGAGCCGGGGGAAAGAAAGAGAACCCUGCCAGCCUGGCAGGCAUGGAUAAUUGUACUGCUAUCUUCGGGAUUCUGGUAUUCCAAGAUUUGCAGAAGAUUCUACUUAUUUACAACGUUACAGCAUCAGGCAACGUGUGAUUCUCGCUAUGACCAAAUUCUGUAUUUCAGUUAUUUGCUUGUUAUCCAUCCUGCAGUUUUAGUGAUGGUGAUGAAUAAAACCACCCUUGACACUGAAAGGUGCUUCUUUUUAAACCUUAGUCUUCAGAUUUUAUGAGCUCUUAACACAGAAGGCAAAGGUAACAUAAAGCAGAGACUGAAAGAAAACAGCAGGAAUCUGUGUGUGUCUGGGAUCGCUGCGGAGCUUUUUAGACAAGCAAGUGAAAGCAAUGGCUGGGGUGGGAAGAAGGUUCAAAAUAGCUGUAGGCUGAAAGACCAUGUGGAAGACCAGGAGACAAGCAGUGAUAAUGAUAGUCAUCUAACAGGGAUACACAGCUGUGAAACACGCUUAGAGUGAAACGUCCUUCAGUUUGGACACUUUCUGAGCCACGUUACCCUCUGCUCAUGUUCUAGUAGCGCAUUACAGACUGUUGGAGGCUUUUCACAUUCACGGUCUCCUGUGCAGAUGUCACUCAGAAUUUCCACGCAGCAUUUUAGGGGCUGGUAGUCCUGGGCCCAGUUUUCAUAGAGCUUUUCAGAUGACAACACGCAAUUUUAUGUUUCUAACGCAAAGAGCAGACAAUGGAAGUAGUUGCUGCCGCCCAUCUGUCCUCGUUGUGAUUUUACUGAUCUAUAGUGUUCAGGCCAUGCCAUUUUAUUCAUGCAAGUGACUGAUCUCAUGGAAAACAGUAAAUACCUUCUCUCAGUUUUCUGGCAUCCUUCUUUGCUGAUAAAGAAAUGUAAACAAGUGCAAAGCACACAGGACCUCAGCUCUCAGAGCACACAGAGGUGUUACUGUAGCUUUUCCUCUGCUCGGUAUAUUUUUCUCUCUUCCAAGAAAACAGGUGAGGUUUGUUGGCAGGGGUUUCAUAUGCUGCUUUGUGGUGCCUGGACAAGCUGUCACUUUGCUUCCUUCCCACAGGCAAUCCAAACAGGCGAGGCUGCCUCUGGAGCCCCUCUGUGCCUCUGAUCACCUGCCACUUCUUCUGGCAGUGCUUGAGCAGGAGUGCUGGGCUCAGGGCUUACAGCACCAUACAGCUAUGACAGGUACCCGGUACAAGGCCAGCUCAACUGGCACAACUGCCAUGAAAGGCAGUUUACUUAGGAUAACGAGACACAGCAUCAGGCUCACAGCACAACUGAAAAUGGCCAUGUGUCAAAGCAGUGUCAAUGGCAAGGAGUAUCAGAAUUUCUGCAGAUUGCCAAGGACAAGACCUAAGUCUUACAGAUAUCCCCUUGAGCUUUGUGCCCAGACAGCAGCCCGGAACCAUGCAACUGGACAUCCCUUCUCAUGCAUGACUCCUCAUGCGUGGCAUCCCUUCAUUACUUGUGUACUAACAGUAUGACCCAAUGGCUGCCCACAAUCUAAUACUUGACCCACGCUUGUCUGCAAUGUUCUUGCUUUUAGUGGAUGUUCCCCAUGUGCGGUCGCCUUGUAUUACAUGGCCUUACUUAACUCGUGGUCACUUCUGUCACCUAUUUCCCACACUUCCAUACAAAAGCAGACUUCAUAAAAACAGAGACACAAACAGUUUCUUUUAAAAAAGCUCAUCACUUCUGUCUAUAGCUGACCUCUAUGCCAGUUUCCACUGUGGUCUGAUUCAGCGUGUAUGGAAUAUAUGAGUGCACGUAGUUAAAUCUCUCUUACAGUUUGACUUUCCUGUUUCAUAUUGGCUCUCCCUUCUUCACUGUGCAUUGCUGAUGUCAGUCUGCAAUCUGUCUAGUUCUCUUCCUCUGAACUAUGUGUCUUUUUCUUAUCCUCAGUUGUACUUCCAUGCCCAUCUGUACCAUUAUUUUAAUUAUCUUUGAACAAAUAUUCAUAGUACUUCUGAACACAUGUCAGUGCCCAUUUUUUUAUCCAAUCUCUUCCUUUACUCUGUUUUAUGUUCAGUUUCCUCUCACGAUUUAAUCAGUAGAAAUUAUAUGCUAUUAUUAUCUUUUCCUUUUGAGCUGAUUUAGUCAUAAUAACAAGGCUUAAAGGGAACGAGCCAAGUCUUGCUGCAAGAUCUGAUCCAAAGCUCAUUACCAUGGUCACUAUUUUUCUGUUCAUCUUCCUACUAGAUUUCCCUGCUUCUAUAGACUCUUGUCAGAUCUGAUAACAUCUUAGAUGAAAAAUGCUUUCCUCUGAGUCCCGCGUCUAGCCUACACCGUGCAUUGUGUUGGGAACCUAAAAGGUGUUCAAACGGUAUCUGAUCUGACACCUUCUUGCAGGAUGCUCUGUUCUGAAGUGCUGCUUUUCCUUCUAUUGCUUCUGAUAAGGCAGCCCACUAGAAGUGUUCACUUUUGACUCAGUUCUACCCUUUGGGUGGAAGGGAACCAUUUACAUGUUUGUAAGUCAGGAUGCUGGUAACAUAUCUGGUUUUAAUUUUCAGGGAUACUGGACUGGCAGCCCUGUUGAAACCCUUGGUUAGUACCUUUAUUCUCUCUAGCAAAAACUUUAGCCUCCGCUGUGACAGUUCCCUCUGUGUGACAUUUUGUUGACAAUCUCCCAGUUAAUCAUAGAAUCCCAGAAUGGCUUGGGUUGGAAGGGACCUCAAGGAUUAUCGAGCUCCAACCCCCCGCCACAGGCCGGGCUGCCAAAUUAGCAGACCUCCAUCAGGUUUUUCUGGUGAGCCACCUAGUAGGUCCAUUUCUUGUUGUGCUUUUGGGAAGGAGACAUUUAGCUUUACUGAGCAGGCAUUAACUGCAAGCAGGUAACAAAGAAGGACUCACUUUAAAGAAAGCUUCUGGAGCUUUGUUUGGGUAGAUUACAGUCUGUCGUGUGAGUCAUCUCUGUCUCUUCUGUCGGGGUUUAAUCUAAAAUAUCUCAGAUUUCCUUUAUGUGUGAGCUAUUCAGUGGAUAAAGCUGUGUGUAAUUUUACGCUGAUAUAAUAACUUAUGUCUGUGUUCUCAUGAAAUGAGACAUCUUUUCUGCUUUCCAGAGUUUAUGUUUCCUGUAAACCAACUAAAUCACAGGAAAGAGAUUUCUUCUGCGUUCCAAGCUGGCAACAGAAAACAACAAAACACCAGAUUCAGGUUGACAGCUGAAAAACACUGAGUGCAUGUUUUUCUUAAUAAGCUCACAUGAAAAUAUGUGCAGUUCAUUAUAAAGAAAGCAAUAUAAAUUCCCUAGCCGUCAAUAGUUUUUAAACUGUAUAGCUCAAUCUAACACAAAAAGUAGAUAGUAGAUGCUUUAAAAAACAAUUCGUUUUCCAAUGGCUAGAGCUACGAAGGAUUGUAAUACCAGACCAUCAAAGUAGGUACAGUAAAUUAUCAGAGAAACAAAUACAGACUUCCCUUAAAUCAAUGCCAAACUGUGCCAGUGGGCUUUGAGGCAUCACGUUAGGAUAGUGAUAGCGCACAGAAGGAGCUAUUCAUCCAGAGAUUUCUUAGUCCUUCCAAGAUGUGGGAAUCAUUUCGUUUUCCUAACAGACAGGGAAAAUGAGGCGCAGAUGCAAAAAGGUUUGCUGACAGUCUCAGAAUGUGUGAAUGAAUGGAGAAAAGCUGAAAUGUGCUGCCUUUGGCUCCGCAGGCCUCAUUACUAUUGGCACCAAUAGGAAAUGUUCUAUUAGAGUUAUCACCCUUUUGAGGUGUUGGAUGGUCUCUGUAUGGUUGCAAAACAUUCUUGCAUGGAUCUAUGUAAGGGCAGGGUGCAGUUUACAGUCUCCAUGGGCCACACACAUGGCUCAUUCCUUCCCACAUGCCCCAUCGCUGCUUUCCCACCCCAUGCUCCUCUAGGAACUUCCUGGUCCCCAGCUCUCACCUUUGUACCAGUGACUCUGGGGAUUCCUUUGGAUUUUCUUCUCCCAUACACUGGAGAAGAAAAGUGGCUCAUUAGUUCCCUCAGGGUUCCCCACAGUUCCCUCUUUUUUUUUUUCUGCUCUUUACCUCUCUACACAGGCGCUCUGUACAGCUACCCGUAUCCUCACCUGUCACAGAGUCCCUUGCAUAUUGCACCAGGACUUGUGUUCCUCCCACGCCUUUUCUAUCUGUCUGGAGAGUGAAUCAUUUCUGCGUCUGUGACAGGAAGGGCAGAGCCAUGCUGGGGCACUGUUUAUGCUGGGAGAAGAUAACAGCAACUGUGCCUGACCUUUGAUGAAAAGAAUUACAGGCCAGAUUGAUGGCUACUGGAUGCCCUCACCAGAUGCCAGGGCCUCGUAUAUCCUGCAUUUUCCCCCUUCUCGGGAUGAGAAGGACACUGCCUAUGGAUGUGUAAAAACAUUUCCUAACAGUUUGGAAUUGGUUGGCUGUGGUGUUCAAAAGCCAUCUGCACUGCAUCUGAAGAAAGGAAUGUCACCAAGAUGACUGUAAGGACUUGAAAAGUUGGCCGACCGAUUCCCAAGCAGAGAGCACAGCUGGCUGCUGUUGGUGAAAUUCCACACAGACUCACGACAUUCCUGCCGCCCUUUCAGGCUCCGGUUGAAGUCAAUGAUUGACACCAAGUGUGGGGCGGGGGGCAGAGUACGUAGGAACAUGGGUCUUUGUGAAAUUCAGUGUUGAACCCUCUAUAUGAGGGUCAUAAAGGCAGUCUGAGCAUCCACAAUGCCUUUGCCAAUGAAGUAAACCUGGGUUUGUGUUUCCUCUGCAAAGCUGAGUCAGUUUCAAAGCAAGCUUUGCCCUGAUGCAUCCAUUUUGUGUUGAAAUCAAAUUCCUGUUCUUAUAUUCUCUACUCCUUUGCCGAUAAAAACAAGUUUGAUCUCAUAGAUGUAGUCCUGAUAAAAAUAAAUGAGGUUAUCCAAACUGCAGUUAGAACUUAGUUUUUCACCUGCCUACCUUACUGAACCUUUGUCUGUCAUUAAUGUUAAUUCUCACUGCCAUUAAACAAAUUAUAUUUACUUCACAGGUUGGGCUGCCUAAGCAGCGUUGGACUCUGAAUGCCUGUUUCUAACUAGUUUAGCAUUGGAUUUGGGAAGAAUGAUUUCCCAGUAUCACUCUGCAAACAAAACAGAUGUAUUAAAACAAGAACAUGUCAGUGGUGUUUACCCAAGUCCUUUUUCCUCGCACAUUGUUCACUGCACAUCACAGUAAUUUGGUUCUAGACAUUUCCUAGUAAAGGAUGUUGCUAUCAGCAAAUUCUUUGAGUACUCUCACACAUAUAUGUGCACAAU